rnacentral:rRNA from 1 species
UACGUAGGGGCCGAGCGUUGUCCGGAGUUAUUGGGCGUAAAGCGCGCGCAGGCGGCCUCGCGCGCCCGACGUGAAAGCCCCGGCUUAACCGGGGAGGGUCGUUGGGGACGGCGGGGCUUGGAGGGCGGGAGAGGGUGGUGGAAUUCCCGGUGUAGUGGUGAAAUGCGUAGAGAUCGGGAGGAACACCCGUGGCGAAGGCGGCCACCUGGGCCGACCCUGACGCUGAGGCGCGAAGGCGUGGGGAGCGAACGGG